rnacentral:rRNA from 1 species
UACAGGAGGGUGCAAGCGUUAUUCGGAAUUAUUGGGCGUAAAGGCGCACGUAGGCGGUUCUUUCAAGUCUGGUGUGAAAAUCCCUGAACUCAAUUUCAGGAAGUGCAUUGGAUACUGUUAGACUGGAGAAUUGGGAGAGGAGAAGCGGAAUUCCUGGUGUAGAAGGUGAAAUUCGUAGAUAUCAGGAGGAACAACAGAGGCGAAGGCGGCUCUC